rnacentral:rRNA from 1 species
ACGGAGGGUGCAAGCGUUAUCCGGAAUCACUGGGUUUAAAGGGUGCGUAGGCGGUUUGAUAAGUCAGAGGUGAAAGCUAGCAGCUUAACUGUUAAAUUGCCUUUGAUACUGUCAGACUUGAAUCAAGUUGAGGUAGGCGGAAUGUGACAUGUAGCGGUGAAAUGCAUAGAUAUGUCAUAGAACACCAAUUGCGUAGGCAGCUUGCUGGGCUUGAAUUGACGCUGAGGCACGAAAGCGUGGGGAUCAAACAGGAUUAGAUACCCUGGUAGUCCACGCCCUAAACGAUGUUAACUCGAUAUUUAUUCUUCGGAGUGAGUGUCCAAGCGAAAGCGUUAAGUUAACCACCUGGGGAGUACGUUCGCAAGAAUG